AGUCAACUGUAGGCUGCUCAAGGACAGCCCUGCUCUGUUAGCUAGACCUUGAGGACACAGGCUCUGGGUAUGUCAAUGUCCUGGGACAGCCAAGUGAUCUGUUUAGUAGGGAUAUUUAAACAGUACAAAUUUGUCCUGUCAAUUCUGUAGCCUCAAAGUCUAAAGUCAAGAUAAGCCACACGUCCCAGGAGGUCCCUUCUGUCUCUCCAGCUUCGUCCGUCCACAGGCCUCUGCAUUCCUAGCUCCGCACUUAGGCUCUGCCUCUUUUUGUGUGAGAUCUCUCCAUGUGAGUCUGCCCCUGCCUCUCCUCUCCCUGAAGCAGCAGUUCUAUGGGAUCAGUGCCCACUGUACCCUAGUAUAGUUCACUUUAAAUUACAUCCAAAAGGACCCUGCUGUGAGGUCUCUGCGUGAGGCAGAGAGGGUUAGCGUUAGUCACUCAUGACUGGCAGGGCUAGGAAAGCCUUAUGGGUAAUGGUCCUCACCUUGCUUGCUUCAAAGUUGAGAUCUAUAACUGUGCUUCCUGGGGGUGGCUGGGAUGGACCUGGAUGGUCCUCUGGGAGCUAUCACAUGGAGCUGCUGUGCUGCGGUUGGCUUUUCCUUCUCGGGGACAAAAGUACAGGUUUAUGAUCCUCAGCUUGGCUCUCAGGCACCUAGCAUGAACAGGUGUGGAAGGCGUGGCUGGACAAGGAAGGGGGCAGAGCUCAGACAGUGCUAGUUCCAGGGGUGAUUUAAGGCACGAAUGGCUGUUCCAGAUUCACAAAAGGAAUAUUCGACCCAGAUCACUGGCUCAGGCAUAAAAGGGGUCCCCAUCCUUCGAUGGCAUUGGAUGUAUAGAGACAUGACCUGUACGAUUAUUUACUCUUGAGGGCAAACACCAAGCGACUCUUUACUGGAAAAGAUCGGUGGAUUAAUGUGUAACUUCGAGUUAGCAAGUAGUUAUAACAAGCAUCAAGGGGAGCGAGGGCACCUGACAGGAGACAAACACCCUGGUGGGGCUGGGGACAGGGCUGUGCCUGCUUUCCCAGUCAGACAAGGGUGUCACUAGUUGUCCGUGUAGCGUGUAUGUGUUUGGUGACCGUGGAGGUCAGAAGAAGCCAUCAGAUCCCCAGGAAUUGGUCAAGAGGCCCAAUGUGGGAGCUGAGACUCAGAACAGGGUCUUCUGGAAAAGUCAUUAACCACUGAGUCAACUCUUCAAACCCAACCUCAAAUUCUUGAUAUACAAAUUUCAAAAUGGGCUGACCUGCUUGGCGGACUCAAUACAGCCUGCGGUUAGACUCUUGCCGAGGUUUGGAUUCUCCUCAAGCAAAGGCAGUGGUUUUGAUGGUCUCCAAGUUGUUGUCAACAAACCCAAGGCUGCAGCUCAUCAGAGAGGCCUCGGACUCUUGCUCCAAGCCCCGGAGGCCCUAGAGUAAGAACAGUGCGCUGGAUCUAAGCCUCAGCCAGGCAGCGAAGACGACCUUAUCAGAACCACCCAGGCGCUUGCUGGAGGGAGAUGAAAGGCGCCCCAGUAAGAUCUGUACCGUGGGCCACGCAGAGCUUGGCAACCAGCCCUUGGGUCAGAAUCUGACCUGGCAGGGGGGACGCCACUCACCCACCCGCCAGCCAGGUGGCCCCUCCUCCUCUCCUCACCCACCCCUUUCCCUUCCUACAGGAACUUGUAGGGUCAUUUCUCCAGACAGAGUGUGCUCAGCCUCCCGAUAAAUUACUGAGCAAUAAAUUACUGAGAAUGAGGCUCAAGCUUCUCUGGGGCUUGCCCUCCUUUAGGGCCUUUUUCCUGUUCCAUAUGGACUGGGGGAGAAGCAAACCCUAAGUGGGUAACGAUUGCUAGGUCCUACUGCGGGACGGAGCUUUCCUGUGUGAGCCAUGGCUCCCCGUGACCUCUACCCCAGGGUAGAAUCCCAGAAUCCUUCACUCUGACAGGACUCUAGGAGGUGAUGACCAAGGUCUCUUUUAUCUUCCACUUUCUCAAACCCUGGGGGAUAGGUACCCCACCAACUACGGGAGGAACCAUGGAACCUGCCUCACGGAACCCGCCUUAGCUCGUCCUCUUGUUAACCUUGUCUUAGCAGCUUCCCCGUGGUUCCUCAAAACUCGGAAACAAACCUCUUCCUCAAACACUAACCAAACAAAAAUGCGCUGUGAUGAAUACAUUUCAUCAACUGGAAGGCUGCGCCGGGGUGAGGUCACAGUUCAAUAGACCACAGGCUCUGGGAUGUUCUUCUUAGGGCUUUAUCAGGGAACACAGCUAGAGGGAGGAAUUCAAUGUGUGGAAAACCUCUCAACGCCCCCAAACACUCACUUCCAACCUGCUUUUUUUUUUCUUUUCUUUUUAAUCACACCGAAAAAUGUUAACAAUGUCACUGUCCAGCAGGAGGUAAAUGGGCUGUGGAAACUCUCAGGUUGACACUUAUCCACCCCUGUGCAUGGUUCCAGGUCCUGUGUGGCAGCUCUGCUCUAAGGAACAUCAAACUGCCUGUAGGACAGGUAAGAAUGAUGGUUUCAUUGAUGAUGUAAAGCCAUUAAGGACCAUACAUCGUAAGUCACAUUAAUGGUUUUUCCUGGGUGGUAGGGAUCCCGUGACUCCCUCCCUUUCCAAAUCUCCUACACUGAGGAUAUUCUAUUGGAAAAUUCUGAGUCUUGGCUUUGGCCGGCACAUUAUUCUCUGUUUCUGUCUGUGUGGUUGCUACCCUCCUGAUACCUCAUUGCCUGUGCACUGAACAUCCCUGAACAAAUGAGUUACUCUACAGCCCUGGAGCCCACAGCACCUGACUGGGCUGCAGGACUCUGGCUGGUCAGAGUAGUGAGGUCACUUAUCUGUACAGACCCACACAGUUGAAGAGACAGGCAGUGGGGGAGGCUGAUCUCACACCGUGGUGGAACCAGGCUGUCAGAACACGGGUAAUCCUUUUGGCCUGUAGAUGGGGUUCUUGGAAACAGUGUGGGAGUCCUCUCCAAAUACCUCCACUGGCCCUGGCCACACUCCCUCCUAAGACAGUUGUGUUGCAAGCAAAGUUUUCAGGAUUUCCAAGCAUAGGUUGGCACAGUUGGUUAGCUGGGACCCGUUCACAAUCCAGAUACAACAUCCAAGUCCUUACCGGCCGUGUGGAAAUGCAUUACCCAACAGUUACUUCCAGAAAGUUCCCUGACCAUUAGGGGGUCCUGGCACCCAUGUGGCUGGCAUGUCAACAGGGAAUCUAAUCGUCUGGCAUCGGCUUACGGAGCUGGAGACGUUAGGAGAAGAAAGCAGCUCAUGGCAGAAACGGGGAUCAUCGUGGUGGUGUUUUUUGAAUAAGAAAUGUUCCAGGCUGGAGAGAUGGCUCAGUGGUUAAGAGCACUGGCUGCUCUU
rnacentral:sRNA from 1 species